UAUUUAUAUAGUAUAAUUUAUUAUAUUAAAUUUCCAAUUUAAAGAUCUAUUUUAGUAUAAAU
rnacentral:tRNA from 1 species